rnacentral:lncRNA from 1 species
UCUCUCUCAACUCACAGAAGCACUAGCCACCCACGAUCGCCCACCGCCACCGGAAAUCGCCCACGGUGGUUAUGCCACUCCAAAUCACCCCAAAAUUAUACCACACACUCUCCAUCGUCCCCUCAACCCUAAUCCAUCACCAAUUUCUCAAAAAUACCCACCAAUAUUCUCCAAUUUCAAAUCCAAGAAGGCCGAAAAAUCCUAAUCCGCUUCUAUUUUGAUUUUCUCGAAAUUUUUGACUGAAUUGACCAAAAAUUUGUGCUAAUCAAUUAUUCUUCAACCCAAAAAAAUAGAUUGACACUAAUUUUUGGUCAUUUCGAAGUCAACGGAUUCCGGCCAACUCUCCACUGACCGACUAGCAUUGCUUGAACCUCAUCCCCCGUUGGCGUGUCUAGUCUUUCAAGUGUCCUCGUGCCAAGAAGGCCCAUCAGGGAUUCAAAUUCUGGAUGAGUCUCUUGGCACAAGGACCUUUGGCAACCAGGUGAUUUUAAACCAUUGGAGAAGACCCUCUUCUUGACUCUUGUUUCUACCUUAGUCAGCGUAUCUGGCUUCAAUCAAGUUCCGUUUAGGUAUACUCCUUUUCUUCAUAACAUCCUAGAUUAUUUGUUGAUGUUUGGAAUGCCGAUUAGUUCUCUCUAUUUGAUUAUGUUUUAGCUACUGCAUUAAUAGUUCAUUACACAUUUAGGUUACUUACAUUUAAGCUUUGUUUAAUUGUUAGUUGUUGUUUGUUGAAGUUUAUUGAAUUUGAAUUCCACUUAGGUUUUCUUGUUCAAUUUAAUUCUAAGUUGGGCCUGGCUUGUAGGAUGGACAUGCCCAUUAGAUUAAUGAUGAAUUAUGGGGAGUGGGAGGUGAUGGGCUUUUUGUCUAAGACCACAAAACUGAAAUCUGGAGUUUUGAAGAAAUGGUAAAUACAGGGGUUUGGCAAGGUAGUUUAGGAAUUGAAUUUGAGGGAAUCUUAUUUAUAACUGCUUGAGAAGGUUCUAGAAAUAGGGUGAGAGCUUGAAAUGUAAUAUAACAACUGAAUUAGAUCAAAAUUUGGGUAAAAAAGGGCUAAAAUCAGAAGAUAAAAGGGCUAAAAUAUAUAGGGAAUAUCUGUAUAAGACAGUUGUUCCAACAGCUGCCCAUUUUCUGUUAAAAAAGAUGGGUUUUUCCUAAAUUUUAGGGACUGCAUUCAUCAGAUUAUUCCCUCACCUUUUUUCUAUAUAAAAGGCCUUUCAUUCCCUUCAUAUAGACAGACUAGACACACGAAAUGCACUUUGAAAAUUCACACUCUUCUUCUUCUUCAUUUUAGAGACUAUUUUAUAUAGAAAUUGACUACAUUUUCAAAAAUUACAUUCCAUUAAUCUUCGUCUCUAAGUAGAAAAACUUUCUGGGGUUCUUGAAGUUGAGUUUUCUUUAGCUUCAUUUGCUGCUGUUUCUUUGUUUCUGUUGGUUUUCUGCUACUGUUUGGUUUCUUGCUGUUACUCCUUCUCAAGUUCAGAGACUUAUUUUCUGCCCUUUUAUUUGGUUGUGAUCAAAUAGGUCAGUUUGAACUCUCAUGUACUCAUAUUCCUAUGUGAAUAAAUUCCUGAUUUCUGCCUUGGUUGUUGGAUAUUUGAGUAGUAUAUGGAAAUAUGAGUUAAUUUGUACUCCUAUUCAAUAUGUUACUCCAAAUAACGUGUAUGAAAGUAUAUUGUUGAAGCAUGCAUGGACUCUGUUAAUUUCUGAGUGUUUGAUCACGAGGUUUUGAUUCAAAUAUAAUCCUAAUAUGUUGCUAAGUAGUAUUUGUGUAACAAAUGCAUGAUUUGGAAGGCUCUUAUGGAAACGAGCAUGGCUGCAGUUCAUGGAUGUGGCCCUAAAUUGGUCAACAUCUACAAGCUUCAAAGCCAAAAUGGAUUAUCGGAACAGUUCGGAAUCAUUAUAGAUUGUCUAUCAUAGAAGUAUAAACAUUUCAUUAUGGCUUGUAUUAUUAAUUUGGAAUAAGGUGUGUUGUAAAGCAGGCAUGGCAGAAUGCCAGGAUUUACAUAUGUUUUAACUUGAAUGCAUACUUAAAGGCAAUCAAGUUUGUUAAGAUCAGUUUCUAUUUUUGCUUUUAUGUAAAAGUCUGAAAUCAGUAUUAAGUUUUGGUUAAAAUCAGAGUAGCAGCCAUUUCGAAUCUGUCAGUUACAAAUGUAAUUCGAAUAUGGUGUUACUCUAAUGAAAGCCAUGUUCUGGGCCUCAAAUUGAAGCCCACUAGCGUCCGUCUACACUCGGUCUAUUUUGGGCCAUUUGAAUCUAUACCCGCUUUUUAUAUCACGUUUUAACUUGUACCCGUUUUGCAAAAAAUUGCAAACGUACCCGCUUUUUUGCAUAACUUCAGCAUACGGGGCUGAAGUAGCAAAGACAAUCACGCAAAACUUCAGCAUUCUAGCAGACGGGCCUGAAGUAGCAAGUAUGCUGAUGUUUUUGUUUUGUAACUGGCAAACUUUAGCUCUAGAGCUAAAGUUUUUGUUUUGUAACUCGCGAACUUCAACUCUAGAGCUGAAGUUUUUGUUUUUGUAACUGACGAACUUCAGCUCUAGAGCUGAAGUUUUUGUUUUGUAACUGUCGAACUUCAGCUCUAGAGCUGAAGUUAUUUAGUUCAUUUGUAAAAACUUCUGCACUAUUUAUGUUUGUUUGGGAUCUUGGUCAUCUGUAUUUUGUUUGUAAUUAUGCAACAAUUAAAGAAAACGAGAGUAUGCACAAAUCUAAUAACUUAUCAUCAUUCACUGAUCAGUAAAGUCACCAAUUUCAACAAAAAUUUUGCAACUGAAACUAACGUGCCUCUGAACUAAUUGGUUACAUCAACAAGUAACUUAGUCUAAAUUUAUUAUUACAUAGCUUUGAAAGAAGAAAAAAGGAAUAAUAAUACAAGGGUCAAAAUACAGAUGACCAAGCUCCCAAACAAACAUAUACACUAAGAAUCUACUCAUCUAAUAUAGUUACAGCUAGUUAUUUAGUUCAUUUGUAAUUAUUUAUAAUUUAUUUUUAAAUAAUCUGAUAAAUAUAUUUAUGACAAUCAUCCCAUGAACUGAAGUUCCGUAGCAGCACGAAUAGCAGAAGAAGAAGAAGAAGAAGAAGAAGAAGAAGAAGAAGAAGAAGAAGAAGAAGACGAAGGAGGAGAAGGAGGAGUAGACGGGGGGCUGAAGUUAUUUAAAAUGUGGGUACAAAUUAAAAGUUUUUAAAAAAAUAAAUAGGUGUAAAUUAAAUGGGGGCGACCAAAUAGAGCGUCCCGUGUAAUUGUUACUCUAUUUUGAGACCUCGUGC